rnacentral:pre_miRNA from 1 species
GAAGUACUCCCUCCGUUCCAAAUUACUCGUCGCAGAAAUGGAUGUAUCUAGAACUAAAAUACAUCUAGAUACAUCCAUUUCUGCGACGAGUAAUUCGGAACGGAGGGAGUACAAG